GUCGAGUGAAACGAGGCUGCGAUCUUUUGAUUUUGUUUUUUAAAAAUCAAAGUCAAAAGAUCGCAGCCUCGUUUCACUCGAC
rnacentral:misc_RNA from 1 species